rnacentral:tRNA from 1 species
AUCCUUAUAGUUUAAGCAAAACGGCAGAUUUUCUUCUUGCAGAUUUCUAAUUUAGAAUAAGAAUU